GACGAACGCUGGCGGCGUGCUUAACACAUGCAAGUCGAACGAUGAUGCCCAGCUUGCUGGGUGGAUUAGUGGCGAACGGGUGAGUAACACGUGAGUAACCUGCCCCUGACUCUGGGAUAAGCGUUGGAAACGACGUCUAAUACUGGAUAUGAUCACUGGCCGCAUGGUCUGGUGGUGGAAAGAUUUUUUGGUUGGGGAUGGACUCGCGGCCUAUCAGCUUGUUGGUGAGGUAAUGGCUCACCAAGGCGACGACGGGUAGCCGGCCUGAGAGGGUGACCGGCCACACUGGGACUGAGACACGGCCCAGACUCCUACGGGAGGCAGCAGUGGGGAAUAUUGCACAAUGGGCGAAAGCCUGAUGCAGCAACGCCGCGUGAGGGAUGACGGCCUUCGGGUUGUAAACCUCUUUUAGUAGGGAAGAAGCGAGAGUGACGGUACCUGCAGAAAAAGCACCGGCUAACUACGUGCCAGCAGCCGCGGUAAUACGUAGGGUGCAAGCGUUGUCCGGAAUUAUUGGGCGUAAAGAGCUCGUAGGCGGUUUGUCGCGUCUGCUGUGAAAUCCCGAGGCUCAACCUCGGGCUUGCAGUGGGUACGGGCAGACUAGAGUGCGGUAGGGGAGAUUGGAAUUCCUGGUGUAGCGGUGGAAUGCGCAGAUAUCAGGAGGAACACCGAUGGCGAAGGCAGAUCUCUGGGCCGUAACUGACGCUGAGGAGCGAAAGCGUGGGGAGCGAACAGGAUUAGAUACCCUGGUAGUCCACGCCGUAAACGUUGGGCGCUAGAUGUAGGGACCUUUCCACGGUUUCUGUGUCGUAGCUAACGCAUUAAGCGCCCCGCCUGGGGAGUACGGCCGCAAGGCUAAAACUCAAAGGAAUUGACGGGGGCCCGCACAAGCGGCGGAGCAUGCGGAUUAAUUCGAUGCAACGCGAAGAACCUUACCAAGGCUUGACAUACACCGGAAACGGCCAGAGAUGGUCGCCCCCUUGUGGUCGGUGUACAGGUGGUGCAUGGUUGUCGUCAGCUCGUGUCGUGAGAUGUUGGGUUAAGUCCCGCAACGAGCGCAACCCUCGUUCUAUGUUGCCAGCGCGUUAUGGCGGGGACUCAUAGGAGACUGCCGGGGUCAACUCGGAGGAAGGUGGGGAUGACGUCAAAUCAUCAUGCCCCUUAUGUCUUGGGCUUCACGCAUGCUACAAUGGCCGGUACAAAGGGCUGCGAUACCGUAAGGUGGAGCGAAUCCCAAAAAGCCGGUCUCAGUUCGGAUUGAGGUCUGCAACUCGACCUCAUGAAGUCGGAGUCGCUAGUAAUCGCAGAUCAGCAACGCUGCGGUGAAUACGUUCCCGGGCCUUGUACACACCGCCCGUCAAGUCAUGAAAGUCGGUAACACCCGAAGCCGGUGGCCUAACCCUUGUGGAAGGAGCCGUCGAAGGUGGGAUCGGUGAUUAGGACUAAGUCGUAACAAGGUAGCCGUACCGGAAGG
rnacentral:rRNA from 1 species